rnacentral:rRNA from 1 species
UACGUAGGUGACAAGCGUUGUCCGGAUUUACUGGGCGUAAAGAGCGCGCAGGCGGUCGUUCAAGUCGAGUGUGAAAGCCCCCGGCUCAACUGGGGAGGGUCACUCGAUACUGAUCGACUCGAAGGCAGGAGAGGGAAGUGGAAUUCCCGGUGUAGUGGUGAAAUGCGUAGAUAUCGGGAGGAACACCUGUGGCGAAAGCGGCUCACUGGACCACAACUGACGCUGAGGCGCGAAAGCUAGGGGAGCAAACAGG